GCCAGGGAUAAUUUCGUUUGAUUUUUCCUGCUAUAAAAGGAGCUGGAUUUCCAGUAGUUAGCCAGUUAUACUUGACAGCUCGGUCGUGAAACACCUCAAAAAUAAUAAGAAGAGGACAAUCCCAACACAGGAGAAUCGCUCUCCUCGAUGCCAAUUUGCGAUGGUAUCUUCGGGGUUGUAUUCGUCCUGGGUUGGAUUCAUCCUCUCUGUUUCUCUGACUGCCAUCUUCAUCGUCACUUGCAUUAUUUGGAUCAUCUGGAUUCUGGUUUCUCGACUCAGUUAUCAUUAUAAUCAGUUUGAAGUUCUGGUUGAACUCUUGAUUUAACGUGCAUUCAUGGUUUAGGUUUUACAUAUUUUGUAUACUAUAUACUUUCCACAACAUAUAUUUUGUACCACCUUUAUAUUUUAUGAAAUAUAUUUUGUAUCGCUGGAACUGAA